GGUUCCAAGUACCUGAAAAACUUUCAUUUUUCUUUCUUUAAUUUCGGACUUAAAUUUAUUUUAGUUAAUUUUGGUUUGUGGAAUGAGAAUGUUUUGUUGGAAGAAAUUCAAGUUUUAUUUCAAUUUUUCGCGCGCAUGUGUUGGUCAAAUUUAAUACCAUACCUGCAGCGAACACAUGUGGAAGAAGCAAGAGAGAAGUUUUGAGUUUUGGGUUUUCGAUGUGCUGCAGAGAGAAAAUAUAAAAUUUCUACAACUACCAGUGAUUUCGACAUUGUUAAUGAUCAGGAUUGUGCCUUAAAAUAGCAGGAUAAUUGAGGUUUACAAACAAUCAGUGAAGUUAAUUUUGGUUUGUGGAAUGAGAAUGUUUUGUUGGAAGAAAUUCAAGUUUUAUUUCAAUUUUUCGCGCGCAUGUGUUGGUCAAAUUUAAUACCAUACCUGCAGCGAACACAUGUGGAAGAAGCAAGAGAGAAGUUUUGAGUUUUGGGUUUUCGAUGUGCUGCAGAGAGAAAAUAUAAAAUUUCUACAACUACCAGUGAUUUCGACAUUGUUAAUGAUCAGGAUUGUGCCUUAAAAUAGCAGGAUAAUUGAGGUUUACAAACAAUCAGUGAAG